CACAUUCUGGCUCCUUCUUGCUCAACCACCCACCACCCACCGUCCAUUGUUUAACCCCUUUAUCCCUGCCACCGACAUUUUCUGUAAUUGGAAUUUGCGGUGGAGAAGCGGCUUCUGAAGGUGGAAACUGCGGCGGCCACACACCUCACACAUAUUGUGUGCGCCUGACUUUUCCUCUUACUAAAACUCAAUCGCUAUGAAAUCGCUGAUCUCUGAAGGUGAAGAAGAUAUGUUAAAAAAAAAAUUGGAAAGAAGAAGA
rnacentral:lncRNA from 1 species